UGAACAGGUGUAAGAACUAAUACAUUCAUAGGUGAUGUGACUUGGACAAAGCAAUAAGACAGUACAUCUGCUCUGCUAGAAACACUCAAGGUAGGAGCGUGAGAACGUGUGGAAAAUGGAAGUGACUGGGAAUGCCAUGAGGAGGAUGCCGCUCAGUAUGCUGCUCAGUGCCACCACCUGGCCGGGAAUGCUCCU